GACAAACGGUCAAUUCGGCCAAACGGGUCAAAAGGUGUAGACAUCACCUUUUGACAAUAUUGACUAAUGAUCUUUUGUCAAGUUAUAUGCUUACAGGAGUAGAAAUCCAAUGGGUACUCGCAUCGCUCUUACUUAGCGAUUAAAAAGCAAGGUAUUUAUAAAUCGGGUCUACUUGUUGAUCCGGGCCAGGUACAUUUUGGAUGCCGGAAGACGAUCAAGCUCAAUGAAGAACCGAACACGAUAAAGACUCAUGCUUCCGCACAUUGCCUCGUUGUAAAUUUUAACGACGAACACAAUCACGUUGGUAGAAUAGCUUAUGAAUUGUAAAAGUUUUAAUUUACUCGGAAUUUCCUAAGGAUACUUAACACUAAAUACAUGUCUGUAUUCGUAAUUUAUACGAAAACCUUUAAUAUAAUAAUUAGAGUGUUACA